rnacentral:rRNA from 1 species
UACGUAGGUGGCAAGCGUUAUCCGGAAUUAUUGGGCGUAAAGAGUGAGUAGGCGGCAGUUUAAGUCUGAAGUGAAAUCGUGUGGCUCAACCAUACAUUGCUUUAGAAACUGGACAGCUAGAGUGCAGGAGAGGUUAGCGGAAUUCCAUGUGUAGCGGUAAAAUGCGUAGAUAUAUGGAGGAACACCAGUGGCGAAGGCGGCUAACUGGCCUGUAACUGACGCUCAGUCACGAAAGCGUGGGGAGCAAAUAGG